rnacentral:lncRNA from 1 species
UGUGUAUAGAGUUUUCGGAUAGAUUUUAGAAAGCUUGUCCAAUCUUGAAUUGAAUUGAGGAAAAACACGUGGACGACAAGUAAGAUGUCAAGAUCACAUGGAACCUAAACAAUCAUAUACAUAGAGGUUAAAGUUUUUUAUCCCAAACCUAUCAUGAAUACUGGCUUAAGGAUAAUUAAGCUAAAUUCAAACCCUAGCUUCUCCCUCUUCACUCUUUCUUCCCCCGCUGCCGCUGCCUGUACCCCAUAGCGCCGGCGGCAUCCACUGGUGGCCAAGCACCCCUCAACCAACGCCAAUCUCUUACUCUCCUCCUCAUCGCAAUAACCCCUCUCAAUCUUCGUAAAUCUAAGCCUAGCCGAAACCCUAGCCGCCACUCACUACCCCAAACUUAAAAAAUUUCACCCUACCGCUCGCUCUCCUCUUCUCCAUUCCAUGCCUCAAGACCUUCAAACGCCUCCAAAAUCUGAGCAAAAUUUGGCUAAAUUUCGGGCAGCAGUCCCCACUACCAUCUCACCACCACUAAGUGCCUGAGCUGCUGUUUCUUUUCCUAGACAUGACCUGUGAACGAACCUUUCUAGGCGACAUAAUGUUGAAAUCACUAGUCGACUCCCCGAAAUCGGUGGUCCUAAUGUCUGCCGCUUAGAAAAGUUUGUUCAAAGGUCGCUAGCAAUCAUUUGUCACUCUUUGUGUCGUCCCCGAGAUUUAUGGACAGCUUCAUAUGCCCUCGAUUGGUAUAAACAUUAUGUCCUUUUUAUCUUUUCUGAGUUUUUCUUUUUGCUUUUAUAAUUAGUAUUAGUGUUAAUGUUUAAUUUCUAUUCUUGUUAAUUUUAUUUUUAUGUGUUAUUGAGCUAGGGUAGUAUUGGUUUUCAAUUACAUGUUAUUUUAUAAAUGUGAAUUUCAGUUCUUAUGAUUUUUGAUUCUUCGACCUAGCCGGUCGACUAUUUUGUGUGAAUUUUUUAAGUUUGAACUUUUAGUUUUUCGACCUAACCGGUCGAUAAGUAAGUGUUUUAUGCUAGUUUCAUUGAAAAUCAAAAAACUCGUUUAAUUGUUUAUUUAGUUAGUCGUUUGUUAAGUUGUUAUUAAUCAUGUAUGAUAGUUUAGCCAUGCUUGUUUAGUUUUUACUUUGCACGAUAGUUUGUAAUAUCAAUCGCUUCAUGUUAGUUUGCACAAAUCAAAUUAAUUUGAAUCUAGUUUGUUUGAAAACUUAAUUCGGUUACCUGUUAAGUCUUGUUUCUGCUGUAUCAAUCGAUAAUUUAGUUAGUUUGAAGGAUUGAGUUUUAAAUUCAGCUAUUUGUUUAUAAAGAUAGAGAGUACUUGAGUGUAGGGCCUUUAUCUGUUUGCUUUUCACUAUUGCGAAUUGUUUUGGGGUACAAUACUCUAAAAUUUGGUCCACAGUUGGUAAGGAAAACUAUUCAUUGGACAAAAUUCUGGUUUUGGAUAGAUUUUGGUCAAAAAUCUGUCAUUUGUUUUUACAAAUUUUGGCUAAAAAAAAUCUUUCCUAGAAGUUCUCCUCUCCUAUAAAGGGGAGGUCUUUCCAUGUCAUCUGGGAGAUAGUUUCUUAACAUCCUGGACAAUCAAAAGAAGAACACAAAAACAAUAGAGAGUUUGAGACCCUUUCUUGAGUAUCUGGAGAAAAGAAUACUUUAAAAAAUAGAAAGGUCUUUGACGCAAGUCUCUAGUCUCUUCUUUCCUACAAAGCCUGUUUAAAUUUCUGUUGAAAUUUCUAGAUCAGCACAGUUUCUUUUGUUGGAUACUGCUGCUGUUCUUUUUGCUCGUGAGUAUUCUGCUCCUAGUAGGUAUUACUUUCACCUUUUAGUAUAGCUAUGGUUGUUACAAGCAAUAAAAUAUAAUCUUGGGAUGUUUACGAUCAUUUAGUGCUUUAUGAAUAGCUUAUUCCAUGUGUCGAUAUUUAAUGCUGUAUAAUUCAGCUUUCCAUAACCAUGCUACUAGUUUUCCUUGAAUCUAUUUAGUUGUGUGCUUGUGUAUAAUUGUAAUCUAGUUUGGAUGUCUUUAUGUUGUUGGUAUAAAUGGCGAUUUAAGAUCUGGAACUCAGGGAAAUAAGGAUUAAUUUCGUUUUAAUAUGGCUUGUGAUUCAAAGAAUUAAAAUAAGGAGUGAAGUUUUGUAGCAUGAUUUCUUUUUCUGUUUAGUUUAUUAAAGUCAAAGCUAUAUGGUGGAUUAAUUUCGUUCUAAUAUGGCUUGUGAUUUGCUAAUAUCAUGUUUUCCUAGUUAAGUUCUUUCUGACAAGUGUUAUUAUUCAAAAGAUAUCUUAGUAGAAUCCAUUGAAUUAAUGUCAACAAUAGUGUGCACAAUGAAAAAGUUCUAGUAAUAUUUUUAUCGACUGUUUAGCCUCACAAACAUUAGUGCAAUGUUUGAAUAUAUAUAUAUAUAUUAUGUUAAUCGAUAUAAUUCAUAGGUUUGGGCUGAUAAAUGAGAUUGGAACGUGGGUGAUCAAGUUAUCAGGCUAGGCAGCCACAAAUUGAAUAAAUGAGCCUAAUUAAAUAUUUUCUGUCAGGCCCAUCUCAUGUUUUUUUUGUCAAAGUAAAAAAUUUUGUUCAACCAAAAUUGUAUAGUUAUAUCCACUAGUACCAUUUGGACUCAAGAACUAGUCAUCUCUAUCCGUAUCUAUCUAAGAGUGUUAACUUUUGCAUUUAUAUUCACAAGUUAUCUACUCUUAGCUAGGAUAGCUAUUCAAUCUAUCUAGUAUAUUCUUUUAUUUGCUAUAACUCUGUCCUCUAAUGUGCAGUUGGAGGCUGAUUUCUUUAAUUCUAUGUUGACUCUUCUUCCUUUCAUUUUGAAAUCUUCUAGCAUUCCUUUCACUCCAUACAUGGUAAAUUGUUGCAGCAAACAACCAAUGCUAAUACCUGGCCUUUAGCUUUGCUUCCUCUGCACCUCUUUACCAUCCGACAUACCUCACCAUUCCAUGUUUUAGGAAUUCUGUUUUCAUUCACCACUUCAAUAAGGAAAUCCAGAUAUCUCUUGCAUAUUUACAUUCAAAGAACAGAUGAGCUAGUGAUUCUGUAGUUCCCUUAGAGCAUAAAACACAAUCCUUUGGAACAUUUAUUCCCCAUUUCUCUAGUCUGUCCACGGUUGCAAGCCUUUGUCUUAUGGCUAACCACAGAAUGAAUUGAUGUCUAGGAAUCUUCCUUGCCUCCCUGGUAAGAUUUUUCCAGUGAAUUUUUUGAUAUUGUGGUUGAAAGGAUAAGUAAUUUGCCUUGAUUUUGAACUUAUCACUCUUGCUGCAUUUUCGCAGUUCCACCUUAUAGUUCCUGUUGCCAAACCAAUAUCUUGCAUCAAAUAUUUUCCUCACAAGCCAGCAAGCUUGUGUAGGUGUUUCAUUGGACUCUAUCUCCUUGUUCUUUAUGUAAUAGCCAUGUAUCCAUUGCACUCAUAGUGAUUCCUUCCUUGUAGAUACUGCCCAAAAGAGCUUGCAUAUGGCUACUCUAUUCCACAAAAUAUAGUCUAUCAACUUUGUGAGCAAGGGAUUUUUGCCUCGUUAAAAUUACUCCUACAGAAUUCUCAACCUUAGGAUUUUUCCUUUUAUUAUUUAUUUUUAGGGUUUAAUUGCGUAUAUUAGUGUGUGUUUUCAUUAGUGCAUGCAUGACAAGUCAUAAAAAUACAAAAACAAUUACAUAAGCAUUUAGAAUUUAACUUCACAUAUCUUGUUAAAAUUAAUUAGUAAUUAAGGUUUUAUUUUGCAAAAUAUAAAAAAUCACAAAAAAUAAGUAGUUUAUUUUGGCAUUUUAUUGUUAAUUUUUAUUUUUGGCAUUUUAUUGUUAAUUUUCAUAUUGUUUAUGUUUAGGUGAUUAUUAGUUUAAUUUAGCUGAAUUUAGAAUAUUUAAAAUAAAAUUAGGAAGUUUAAAAAAUGAAAAUGAAAAAAAAGUAGGAAAUAAAGAGGUUUAACAAGGCUGGCCACAAUUGGGCCAAGUCUGGGCGGCCCAAAACCCCUUUACCUGUCCAAAAUACCGAACCCAGCCCAAAGCCCGUCUCUGACCCAAGCUGAUAUAAGAGAUACCACAAAACGACGUCGUUUUGGAGCAAUUAAUCUCAACUAUCCAUCAACGAUGAUCCAACGGUCCCAAAACUCCCUUCCCAAAACCAAUAUAUAUGUCCAAAUGUGUGUGUUAUGCUGAGAGACAAGCCUUACCCUCCUCGUACAAAAUAUUAACAGUGUAACACCAUCCAGGAUCCACCACAGACCUACCGUCCGCCGCCGGCCAGAAAUCGUCUCCACCGGCGGCAAAACUCAAAUCCCGACCAAAAAUACACCCUUGACUCCCUGUACCCUUCUCUUUCUGAUGCCCUAAAAAUCAAACCUCGAAUAUAAGCCAAACGCUUUGAAUAUUCGAAUCUUUGGUCACCGUCUCCGCCGUCCAUGGCGGUGCCAUCGCCGGAAACCUCCCAAAAUAACACCACAUACUCCUCACCCCGUCGCCACAUUGAAUCCAUAGUUGGGUUCCUACAAACCCCUACCCAUUGCUUCGAAUAUUAGAUCGAAUAUCUGACCAAAAACCUAACCUCCCCGGAAUCCUUCAAAAAUGGUACCAUAUGACCCCCCCCCCACCUUCCUUUCCACAAAUCCACUACCAUCAGCCUUCAAAUGCAACCAGAUUUGGCCAAAAAUCAGAUCAAAGAUGAUCUGAAACACAGACCCACCCCCAAACUGGCUAAUCCUAACCUGCUUUCCCUCUCCAAUAAUGAUACAAGGGUCUAAGAAGGCCAACGGAACCUCCUAGAAAUGGUCGAAAACCUUGAGAGUUGAAGGGUCCAAAUUUUAGGGUUACAACGUCAAAAGCUAAGUUCCCUUUGUUCUUCCUUCUGAUUGCUUUAAUUUCCUUUGUUCUUUCUUCUGAUUGCUUUUGAUUUUGUUUGUUUUCCUUUCUGAUUGAUUUUGAUCUUCUUCGUUUUCAUUUGUUUAAGUACAUGAAUUUUUUCUAUCUGUUCAUCUUUGAAAAUCCUGAGUAGGUUCUUCCAUCUAGAAUCAUAUGUUUGUCUUUGUUUUAAGUUUUGAUAACAUGUUUCUGAGUAGUCUGCUUAUCAUUUGAAAUCAUAGUUGUUUCUUUUGACUCAUUUGGAUUAUCAUGCUAAGCUCAGAAUUGUUCAUCUCUGGUCUAACUUUCCACUUUCUUCGAUCAGUGUCUAUGUGUGAGAAAUCUUAUUUCUGAAGUUUGUGCCGUUUAGCUUUAUUUUCUUCUGAGUAAUUUGGUUCCAUAUUUUGAUACAUGUUAAAUUCGCAUGUAUAUAUGUGUUGCCUCGAUUUGUAACUUAUCAAUUUUUGACAUUUGUUUGUUUGUUUUUACAUAGUAUAUUGUAGUUUCCAAUUAAAUAGUUGGCCAUGGCCAGAUUUCUCAAAAUUUGAUCUCAACUGAUAAUAUAACCUUGGUUUAUGACCUUAAGUAGUUAACUAGGGUCAAUUUCUGACCAAAUAUAUAGGCACCAGGGUAUAAAACACCUAGGCUAGUAAGUAAGAAAAGAAGACAUGGGUACUGGGGGUAUUUGAGCAUAAGAAUCUUGUAACAAACUCUUGGAACAUUAUAGUGAAGGUUCGAAAUGCAUUUUCUGUUAAUUUUCUCUCAAACUUGAGGCACAAGUUAAAAAAUGAGGGAGCAAUUAAGCAAAUCUGAAAAAUGGAUAAGAGACUAAAAAGAAAACAAGAAAGCUUUUGUUGCCCUAAGGCUUUGGCUACAAAAGAGACAUCUGAUUGCUUAAGAAAUAUAUACAUUUGGAGAGAUACGGAAUAAAAAGAAAACAUGAAAGAUUUUGUUGCCCUAAGGCUUUGGCUAUAAAAGAGACAUCUGAUUGCUUAAGAAAUAGAUAUACAUUUUGAGAGAUACACAUUUUAAGGAAAUGGUCUAGAACAUCCACCUGAAAACCAAUUCCCUGAAAAUCUUAAGUUUUCCUGGUAAAUUCUUCUAUAAUAAUCAAAAUUCUGUUCAUUAUAAGUUGAAGAUGAAUUGAGUCAUAUGCAUUCUGAGGUGCUAGAAUUUUCAAAAGCAAUUUUAGGCAUUGCUUUUAGGUUGGUUUACUUUGUUUGUGUUUGGAAUCAAAACAUGUGCUGUUAUUUGCUUUUCAAAACUUCCUGCAUUCCUGUUACCAUUCCUGGGCUUGACAGGCUGAUUUGGUUGUUGUUUGUUGCUUGCUUCUCGUUUACCUUACUCAUUGGAUUCUUCUUUGCUAUAAUUUCAGGUACUAUUCUCACUCAGAUAAUUUGGGAAGGCAACAGCUGUGUAUAUGCAUGAUUAUGAAGACACUUAAAUUUUCAUGUUAAUUUUGUUGUACAAAUGUUACCAAUUUAGUAGUAUUUAGGAUAUUCAUUUUAUCUCUGGUGCUGUAAUAAACAUGUAAACUAUGCUGGAUUGUAUUUGGACUGUCGAUCUCAAUUUAUCUAAAUUUCAGUAGACUAAAAAUAGGAUAAUCAACAACCAGCCCGAAUUUUGUGUUCUGAUCAGUAAUAGAA